UACAGAGGAUGCAAGCGUUAUCCGGAAUGAUUGGGCGUAAAGCGUCUGUAGGUGGCUUUUUAAGUCCGCCGUCAAAUCCCAGGGCUCAACUCUGGACAGGCGGUGGAAACUACCAAGCUGGAGUACGGUAGGGGCAGAGGGAAUUUCCGGUGGAGCGGUGAAAUGCGUAGAGAUCGGAAAGAACACCGGUGGCGAAGGCGACCUUCUGGGCCGCAACUGACGCUGAGGCACGAAAGCCUGGGGAGCGAACGGG
rnacentral:rRNA from 1 species